ACUUUACCACUGUUUGAAAAAAGGGAUCUUCUUUGUUCAUAUGUCUGGAUAACACAUGGUUGAAAUAUAUUUUUUCGACGUUUUUACUUCAUUCAAGUAUCUUGUACAAUUUAUGCAUUGUAGGAAGGGUCAAUAAGUAUUUCCGAGUUUUCGUAAGAAAAUAAUAAAAUUUAUGCUUAAAAGAAUUAUUAAAAAAAUCGUAUGUAGCAGAUUAAAUGACCAACCAAGACGUAACACAUAAGACCAAGAUCAACACCGAGACUAUAUCAGCAAGACCAACACCAAGACCCAAUAAACUAGAUCAAGAUCAGUAUCAAGUCGGGAACAAUGUUGGUUUUUAUCUUGCUUUGCUCAUCAUUAAUCCUGGCUAGAAUGUUCUCGAAAGUACAUGAUUGUCCUCUGGUAGAAAGUUCUAGAGUGAACUGUGAACCCGAAGAAUCGAGAAAAUUCUGGAAUAUUCGAGAAAUAUUAUGUAAGAGUGAUGGAGCUGGUUAUUGUUAUACAAGGGCAUUUUCAUAUAUUUCCUAAAACAUGUUUGAAAUCUCUUAUAAUGAUCGAGAUUUAUUCAGUCUGGUGUGCAUUUUAGUGUGGAAGUCGACCACUAAACAUCCCUUAAGAAUAAGUGAAUAUAUAAACCCACUGAAGCAGGCUGUCUCCGGCUAAUGGUUACAUAAUAUGAUUUCUGCAAAAAUUGUUUAUCUAUCAGUAGGUUUUUGUGACUCCUGUAAUUACAACGAUUUCUAGAACUAUCUAGCGCAUGUUUUCGAACUUAUAUACAAAAGCAAUUAGGAAGUAGUUACACGCACUUGCAAGGUCCAUAACAAGGAUCCCUAACAAAUUAAUUAAUUAAUCAUUACUGAUUACAAAAACAAAACUGAUAGCGGUCAAUAUAUAAACUUUUGAAGGAACAAAUAUCUGUUUGUCUUGUUAAAGUUAACAAAUAAAGGUUUGUCAAUUUGCUUCUAUUCGAAAGAAUACGCGUAUUAUUAAAUUAAACAUAGUAUUAAUUACUAUACUAAUUAACUAAAUUCACCAAAAAAAAAUGAAAAGUACAUUCGUUUUUGUUGUGCUUUUCGUUGUAUUUCAAUUAUCAUGGGCCGCAACAGGUCGUGAUGGGCAUUCUGAUGGUGUUAAAACGACUCAAGAUGGUAUCCCAGACCACAGCAAAGAAAAUCACCAUGACGAUUCUGUACCAUCAACAGGAGACUGUAGUGGAUGCAAAUCGUAUUGUUUAGGAAAAGGAUACAGUACGUGGAGUUGCCAAGAUGGACGAUGUUCUUGUAAUAAUUAAAUGAAACAAUCUGUUAUUAUCAACAUUGUUUUAAUGACUGUUAUAUAGUUUGUAAAUAAAUAGUACAAAUUUUGA